ACAUGUCUUAUUGAAAAUAAUUUUAAGUCUAAUCUGCUCAAUGAAAUUUAAAUAGCUGCAGAAUAUUAACUGUACAAAGGUAGCAUAAUCAAUAGUUUUUUAAUUAAAAGCUGGAAUGAAUGAUUUGAUAAGGUAAUUAUUGUCUCAAAUUUAAAGAUAUUAAAAUUUUUUUUUUAGUUAAAAAGCUAAAAUAGAUUUAAAAGACAAGAAGACCCUAUAGAUUUUAAUAUUAUAAAAUAAAUUAAAAUAAAAUUAAUUUAUUUAAAAAAUAUUAGGUUGGGGAAAUUAUUAAAUUAAUAAAAUUUUAAUUAAUAAAUUACAAUAAUUAUUGAAUAAGUGAUCUUAAUAUAUAUAAAUUAUAAGAAUAAAAUACCUUAGGGAUAACAGCGUAAUUUUUUUGGAAAGAUCAAAUUGAUAAAAAAGAUUGCGACCUCGAUGUUGAAUUAAGAUAAAAUUUUAAUGAAGAUAUUAAAAAUUUUUAGUCUGUUCGACUAUUAAAAUCUUACGUGAU
rnacentral:rRNA from 1 species